rnacentral:rRNA from 1 species
UGGGCGAAAGCCUGAUCCAGCAAUGCCGCGUGCAGGAUGAAGGCCUUCGGGUUGUAAACUGCUUUUGUACGGAACGAAAAGCUUCGGGUUAAUACCCUGGAGCCAUGACGGUACCGUAAGAAUAAGCACCGGCUAACUACGUGCCAGCAGCCGCGGUAAUACGUAGGGUGCAAGCGUUAAUCGGAAUUACUGGGCGUAAAGCGUGCGCAGGCGGUUUUGUAAGACAGAGGUGAAAUCCCCGGGCUCAACCUGGGAACUGCCUUUGUGACUGCAAGGCUAGAGUACGGCAGAGGGGGAUGGAAUUCCGCGUGUAGCAGUGAAAUGCGUAGAUAUGCGGAGGAACACCGAUGGCGAAGGCAAUCCCCUGGGCCUGUACUGACGCUCAUGCACGAAAGCGUGGGGAGCAAACAGGAUUAGAUACCCUGGUAGUCCACGCCCUAAACGAUGUCAACUGGUUGUUGGGUCUUAACUGACUCAGUAACGAAGCUAACGCGUGAAGUUGACCGCCUGGGGAGUA